CUCACACGUCCCGGGCAAGGCUGGCGCAGAGCCAGCCCGCAAGCUCCUGCCUCCAAACUUGGCAGCAUCUCUCCAGUGUCCCACCCUCAAGGGGACGGUCAGGAGUCGGGGGCCACUCUGUUUGGGGCUGUUUGCAGGCCCCUCCCGGCGUUGCCGUGGCAAUGACACGGGGCGAGGCCGGGGAGCCAUACCUCAGAGGUGACUAAGUGUGCUGUGUGUCGCCCGUUAUAGCGCCCGACACCCGCCCCCCCGGGACACACACACACACCUCGGGCCCCGGCCCUGGCCCCCCACAAGAAUGUUCCAUGAGCCCCAUGGGCAAGCAUGUGGCCCAGCGUGCCAGGCUGAGCACGCCCCGCCGGCGCCUGCUCCCCUCCUGCCCCGGGGUCACCGCCCGGCCCGGAGCCUUCCGGCCGCGGCCACCCUGCCCGUCUGGAGCCUCCUCCUCGCUGCUCUUAGGUCUUCCUGGUGCAAGGAGCUUCCUGCACGCCUUGCCUCCCGCCAGCCCCUGCACACAGACCCUUGGUGACCCUUCCCUUCCUGCGGCCCGCCUGCCCCGCACUGCACCCCACACUCUGCAGGGAGCUCCAGCCGCCCCCGCAGCCCCCACCCCAGCUCUGCCCAGGACACCGGCCCAGACCCCAGCCUGCAGAGGUUCCCCGGUGGGGAGGCAAGUCCAGGGGGAGAGAUAGGCCAACAUCAGGAGCAGGCCAGGGGCACAGCCAGGGCCGUGGAACCGCCACUGUGGCCACUUGCCCUCCCUCUGCUGGGGGCCUGGGGAGGGGGGCUUCCAGCUCGCUGGCUGGGGUCUGAGGAGCCCCCGUCAGCAGCCCCUGGAAAAGCCUGAGGUCAGGGCCUUUCGGACCUGCCGUUCCGGCCAGGGUCGCCUUUUGACUGAUGGGACAGCUGCGUCCCACUUCCCACAGCUAUUUCGGUUUUCGCAGGAGUCGGGAGGGCUGGCACGCGGGCAAUGGGCUCUUUUCAGAUAAAGGGCGUCACUCAUCAUCCCCUCGGGCAGCUGCCGGCUCCCCUUACCCUCUAAGCCCCAGAGGGGGCUCGGAACACAGAGUCUUCCUGUUUUGUACCAGCCGCGGGGCCAAGGCGGGCUUAGCCAGGGUGAGGCCAGGGGACCGGGCAGGCAGAGGAUGUGUUCUGAGAGGCGAGGACAGGCUGGGACAGACGCGGCAGCUGGUCCUAAUCCCACUGGCCUCCCCCAGGACGGGCCCCGCAGGGCCUCGAGCCCACUCUGUGUUUUUGGGAGACGCCCUCCGGAACCCGUGCUGCCUGUUCUCGGGGACACAGGACCAGCCCCGCACAGUCACGCACCAGGUUGUCUCAGGACCCAGGAGAGGCCCAGGGUAGGGGCUCUCGGGUCGUGCUCUCCAGUGACCAGAACCUUGGGGCUGGAGUUCUGGGGCCGUGGCCCCGCACACUCGGCCACACCUGCGCCCCAGCAGGCGAGGGACGGGGGCCCCUCCCGAGGGGUCUCAAGGCCCGGGGGGCCCCCCCGGCAGCACCGAGGGAGGAGGAACUCAAGAGCCCAGAUCUGAGGGGCACAGCCUGAGUCCCCGCCAGCCCAGCUCCAGGGCUGAGGGUCCUAAGGGCUAGGUCCCAGGGGCAGAGCCCUUCUUACCAUGCAGCUGGUCGACCCCUGAGACCCACCGGGGCCCACAGCGCCCCAAAGCCACAGAAGCUAGGGGCCAGCCAAGCAGGCGGAGGCAGCGCGGGGGCGCUGGGGACACACGUGAGGACCCUCUUCAGAAGGGCGGCUUUGCCCAGGGGCCGGCCUUGGACAGACACGCGGCCGAGGCCCAGCAGGUCCAUCUCACGACCGUCCUGCCCGCGGUCGGGGGCCGGCGUGAAGGGCGGUUUCUGUCUGGGCCCAAAAGCACAGGGUGGGUGGUCUGAUUUGGGGCUGCCAAACUGGGCAGCGACAAAGUGCCCACUUCUGCCCCCAACCCCCUCCCCGCAGGGUGGACGCCCCAUAGCGUGGCCGACCGCUGCUCUGCCUUGCCCGCCCUGCCACACCGUGGCUGUGUAAGGGAGCGCUCCCCACCAGGGACCACGCCCGGCAGGGACAGCUGUGGGGACAGAGGCCUGAGCCGGGCAGGGGCUCCCCGGGCCUUGCUCGACGCCAGGGCACACACCUGGGUGGAGAAGGGGGCCGGGCGUCAAGGGGACAGGGUCCUGGUGAGAGUCGUGGGGUGCCUUCUGCCAGCCUGGCCCUGUCUCCGCCCUGCCCAUGUGACCGGUGCCAUAUCUCAGACAAGAAAGAGGAGGCUGCCACUGGGCCCUCGUGACUGCGAGCAGCAGCUCAGAGUGAAGGGCAGGCCUGGCCCUCGAGGCCCCAGAGCCCCGCCUCCCUUCUGGAAGUCUCCGCAGAGCCCAUGCUGCCCCAACAGAUUGUCUUGUCCAGGUGGCCAUGUCUGCUGGCCACCAGGAGGCAGAUGGGCCCCUCACGUCCGUACACUGGCCUCUGGUGCCCAGGCCUGCCCUGCCUGCUCGUCCACCAUGUCCUGGGCCCCACUGGGGGCUGGGGGCUGGAGCUUGCCCUACUCCAGCCAGACUUCCUUGGGGGUGGCUUUCCAGGGCCUUUGGUCUGGCCUUUAGCGACCAGGCCCCACGGGGAGCCUGUCAAUGGCUAGUCCCUGCCUGGCGCCCCCAGAGGCCCUGCGUUGGGUGAGGGGGCAGGAAGACGCUCCUGGGGGCGUCCUGGGGUCACCUGGGCACCUCCCCAGCCUGACACUGGAAGAAAGGAACCUGCACUGCUUGUCGCCGGAGCUGGCUCGGAGCGCCGAGGGAGGGACAAGCUGCGGCCCUCCCUGCGGGGCCUGCGCGCCCAGUGGGGAGCAGGACACUGAGCAAGGCCGGGCUGCGGGGGCACCCGCGGCCGGAUGCAGUCCCCUUCAGCACCCGGCCUCGGGCCACACUGGCGGCAGCCCCUGGUCCCCCCGCCUCCAGCGGGAGGGGCUGCACAGUCCGCCUGGAGAAAGGCCCACCACCCAGCCGCCACCCAGGCCCGUGACUCCUGCAGCUGCAGCUUUAGUUAAAAAAGCGGGGGGUCGGCGGGGGCGGGGCUCGUGAGCCACGGAGUGAGGCAGGGCCCCCCCAGCUGCAGGAGCCCCGCUAGGUCACCCCUCACUCCCUCUUGCACGUGCACGCACACCCGCUGGACGGGAGGCCCCUGGCGCCGGGCUCCCCCCCGCCCCCCAGCAGCAGGCAUGGGGUUUUAUUAGGGCUACAAAUCAGAUAUCACACAGUUUGGGGCUGACAUGGUUUUUAUAAGAGUAAUUUAGGGCCCUGGCUGCCGUGAAGCCCCAGGGAGGACCUCCAUCGCUUGGGCCGCCGGAACUGCAAGCGCCCCCCGAAGGGAGGUGCAUCAGGCCACCCCGUGGCCCUGCGCCUGCGUGAAGGCUUCUGGGAGGGAGGCACCUCCCCCACCCAAGGGGACACGAGGCGCAGCCCCCUCGGUGGUCAGCGGGCAGUCUCACGGGUGGGCGCCGUCUUGCUGUUCCUGCAGCCUCUGCCCAGAUGCUGGGCACCCCGUGUCCAGGCCGGUGGACCUGGAGGCCUGCAGAAUGUCCUGGGGCGGGAGGAGAGACGGCCCAGGACAUUCGGCCCAGGGCCCCUGCCUCUGCGUCCCGGAGGGCUGCCCGCCGUGCACGUCUGAGGCACCCACCAUGUGCUCGUGCGAGCUCCCAGGCACCUCGGGUGCUGAUUCCGAGGACACUGGGGCACCUCCCUGUUUGUCCUGACAGUAGCGUCUCCCCGAUCCUUGGCUGCAGCUAUGCCCACUGUUGGGAGGGCAGGCGCAGGACCCGGCAUGGGGACCCAGCCGGCAUGACUGAGGGAUGGGUCACGCAGGUGAGCGGGGUAGCCACAGGGGCGCUGGGCCCCAACUCUGCAGAGGGAAGCAGGGGGCCCCUACAGAGCCGGCCCAGGCCGCAGGCAGACGUGCGGGGAGAGGAUGGGGUCCCUGGUCGGCCAGGCGUGGGAGGAAAGCGGGCUGGCCGGCCUCGCAGGCUCCACGUCCACCCGACGAGACCGGGGCCAAUCAAAGCCAGAUGUGGGAGCAGCGAAAAAAAACACUGAUUAUUUUGACGAGGAAAAGCCCUAUUUACAGAGAAGUAACGAGGUGAUUUGGGGGGACUGGCGCUGGGGGUGAUCUCAGAGGGUAUCAGAGGCUGAACAGGUCGGCCUCGCAGCCCACGUGGAGAGCCGUCCUGGCUGGGGCUCCCCGGGCCGCUGUCCUCGUGUCCCCGUGUCGCCCUCGUGGUGUGUGGGCCGAGCCCUGCGGGGCAGCUCCCCCAGGUGGGUGGCUGGGAACCUGGGAGGGAGGCCCCAGUCCGGACGCCUCCCCCUUUCUCCCGGGAAGCCGAGCGCCUGGGCAGGGCAGGGGAAGCAGGCAUGGGGCACUGGCAGAAAUGGGGGGCUGCCCUGUGGCACCUGACUCUGGGAGGGCGGAAAACUUUGUCUCAGGGGGUGAAGAUGGGGUGGGCCCCGUGCCCAUGGCGACAGGCAGCCGUGCCCCCGUUUGCCGGCCCCCACGCCUGGGCCCUUGAGGGUUUCCAAGGGCCAGAGCCGCGUGGAAGGAGAGAGGCACGGGGUGGGGGUGCUGGGGCUGGACACCCUCUCCCCGUGCCAGCCUCACUGAAGUGGCAGCUCCCGCCGCGGCAGAGCCCCCAGAGUCCCGCGAGAGGCUGUGGAAGGCGUCCCCACGGGCCUCGGUGGCGGGCGGUACGGGAGCUGCCCGCCGCUCCGCAGCUGGCAGGGAGGGGCUGAUACACACCCUUGUCGCCGGUGAGGCAGAGGCAGCACCCGCCUCGCACGAAACAUUCCCGGCGAAGCACCCACCCCCCAGAGCGAUGGGAACACACGCCGGGCUGUCAGCAGACAGACAGAUUCGCGCCGCGUCCUGGGCACGGGGCGGAGUAUUACUCAACCUGAAAAAAGAGGGGCAGCCUGACUCGGCAACAGCCCCGGGGGGACCUGGAGGGCAGGACGUGGCGUGACAGAAGCCAGACACCGACAGCCACACGCUGCAUGACUCCACUUCCACGAAAUGUCCAGACCAGGCAAAUCCGUGGAGACAGAAAGCAGACGCGUGGUUGGCAGGGCCAGGCCGGGCGUGGGGGUCGGCGAGCAUGGGCCCCGUGCGGGUGCUUCAGAAUUGACCUAGGGAUGGACACACAGCCCCAACCAUGUGCUUUGGAGGGUGGGGGGGGUGGACAGAACCUCAAUAAAGCAGUUGG
rnacentral:lncRNA from 1 species